CUGGCCCGCGAUUGGCCCGCAGCGCCUGGGCGGGGCCUGCGGGGAGGAAGGGCUGCAGCUCACAGCAACAGAGUUUAGACCCGUCUUUGCUUCAUCAUCUGAAGGUAAAAAAUUUUCCAGCCUCCGCCGGCGGCUCGCAGAGUACAAUAAACAGGGACGCAGAACUGUUUGCAUGGACCUCGCUCGCUCAUGAUGCGGUGGAGAAGCCGCGGCCACUCGGUGCUGCCGGAUGCUCUCGGGGCCACUGUCCAUGGGGAGGACGAGCAGAGCUGAACAAGGAAGGCUUCCAAAUCUCACUUUCUACUCCAUCACCGUCUGUGCUUAUCGGGAAGAUACAUUUCAAGCUACUCACCCUCCAACAACUUACCAACAACUCGAAAUAUAGCCGAUCUCAGGAUUGCUGUGUCCUGAACAAGUGUGUGGGGUUGGUUGGAUGUGGCGAGAGGCCAAGAGCUGGAAGGCUCUCAAUGUGAUAUCUCCACCUCAGAAAGCGCACCCGGGGUCCUGCCUUACAGGAGGCCACUCUCUGAGGCCUACCCCGGAGACUUGUUGAUCCACAGGGCUGUGCAGCUGCUAGACAAAGCCAAGCCAAAGAGGGGGCCGUGGACUUCUUCAUGGCCUCUCAGGGUCAACAGUCACUUCCCCAGACAACCCAG
rnacentral:lncRNA from 1 species